GAGGAGGCCUAGUGGUAAGGCCUCGGUUUUAGGACCGGAGGGUUCCAGGUUCAAAACCCGAUUCCACU